CUCUCUCUCCCUCAGGCUGGAAUUGUAUGAUUGUGAAGACAUCGCGAACCUUAAAGGUUGAGAAGUGAACGGAUUAUACGGCGAACUGAGACGACGUGAAAAAGGGGAUUGGAAGCGGCAUUGAUGUGAGUACUAAGAGCCAGUCGAAAGUGCCCUGUAUAUUGACCUGGCGUUGUGUAGAUCUCUCCAGGAGGAGGAGGGCGGCCCUACCCCUAAUAUAGCGUGGUGGGAGAGCCGAAGGAAUACUUAUUGAAGUAGUCACAACGACGACAUCACUAGCUAGGCCGCAUAUUCCAUCGCCAGAUCCGAACCAAGUGAAGGAAGACGGGUGUCCUUUUCGUACACUGAGUGUGGUGGGUGAGUCUUCGUGCUGUGAAAACCUAUAAUUUUGACGUGGUGUUGUAUAUUGCUGUGGGCUGCUGUGUAUUGCCGUGUGUCCUGUCAGAUAAACCCCCGCCUUCACGCACUUCGUCGCGGGAGGACAAGGAGACUGCUGGUCCUAGCCUAGUUCAGUACAGUAUAUGUUGUGAGCGUGCUUCAGAUCUCCGGAGAUAGCACGGUACGCUGUGUCCAGCCCAGAGGUGAAAGCCAUCCAAAGCAGAGUAACUGUGCUUUGUGUCCAAGUUGAUACCUGUGGAGAGGAAAGGAAAGAGAGAUUGAUACCUGUGGAGAGAAAAGGAGAGAGAGUGAAUAACACGAGGAGGAAUAGAGCGAACCCUGUACUUACAGUACGCUGUGUUCAGCCCAGAGGUGAGAGCCAUUCAAAGCAAACUAACUGUGCUAUUGUGCCUAAGUUGAUACCUGUGGAGAGAAAAGGAGAGAGAGUGGGUAACACGAGGAGAGACCGAGGAAACUUGUACUUACGCCGCUGCCUGUGGAGAAAGAGAAAGCGAGUGAGCACCUAAGGAACGAACUGUGUGAACCAGUACUUACUGUGAGCUGUAAUCAGCGAAGAGGUGAGAGCAAAACCAAGCUGAACUAACUGUGCCUGUGUGUCCCAGCCGUUGCCUGUGGAGAAAGAGAAAGAGAGUGAGCACCCAGAGAACGAACUGUGUGAACCAGUACUUACUGUGAGCUGUAAUCAGCGAAGAGGUGAGAGCAAAACCAAGCUGAACUAACUGUGCCUGUGUGUCCCAGCCGUUGCCUGUGGAGAAAGAGAAAGAGAGUGAGCACCCAGAGAACGAACUGUGUGAACCAGUACUUACUGUGAGCUGUAAUCAGCGAAGAGGUGAGAGCAAAACCAAGCUGAACUAACUGUGCCUGUGUGUCCCAGCCGUUGCCUGUGGAGAAAGAGAAAGAGAGUGAGCACCCAGAGAACGAACUGUGUGAACCAGUACUUACUGUGAGCUGUAAUCAGCGAAGAGGUGAGAGCAAAACCAAGCUGAACUAACUGUGCCUGUGUGUCCCAGCCGUUGCCUGUGGAGAAAGAGAAAGAGAGUGAGCACCCAGAGAACGAACUGUGUGAACCAGUACUUACUGUGAGCUGUAAUCAGCGAAGAGGUGAGAGCAAAACCAAGCUGAACUAACUGUGCCUGUGUGUCCCAGCCGUUGCCUGUGGAGAAAGAGAAAGAGAGUGAGCACCCAGAGAACGAACUGUGUGAACCAGUACUUACUGUGAGCUGCAAUCAGCGAAGAGGUGAGGGCAAAACCAAGCCGAAUUAACUGUGCUUUUGUGUCCCAGCCGUUGCCUGUGGAGGAAGAGAAAGAGAGUGAGCACCCCGAGAACGAACUGUGUGAACCAGUACUUACCGUGAGCUGUAUUCAGCGAAGAGGAGGAAGAAGGAGGGCGCUACGGAUACCUAAGACUCAGGCCGGGGCCCGAGUCCCACGCCCCGGAUCCCCGUGGCCCCCUUGCUCCCUGACCUCUUCCCGGCCAUAGCCCAUCUGGAGGGCCGAGUCAGAGUUUAGUUUUAAUUGCCCUUUCCCUAUUCCCCAAGCUAUUUUUAAAUAUUUAAAUAAAGAUUGUUUUAUCACUUACUUGUUCUCGUGU
ensembl:lncRNA